UACGAGGGGGGCGAGCGUUGUUCGGAAUUAUUGGGCGUAAAGAGCUCGUAGGCGGUUUGUCGCGUCUGCUGUGAAAACCUAAGGCUCAACCUUGGGCUUGCAGUGGGUACGGGCAGACUAGAGUGCGGUAGGGGUGACUGGAAUUCCUGGUGUAGCGGUGGAAUGCGCAGAUAUCAGGAGGAACACCGAUGGCGAAGGCAGGUCACUGGGCCGCAACUGACGCUGAGGAGCGAAAGCAUGGGGAGCGAACAGG
rnacentral:rRNA from 1 species